rnacentral:lncRNA from 1 species
GUCAAACAACUGUAGCAACUCUGACACCAACACUCGGAGGCAAUGAUAUAGUGUUUUCCCCGUAUGGAGCUCAGUGGAGGAGACUAAGAAAAGCAAUGGUGGGUGAGAUGAUGACAAAUUCGAGCCUUGAUUCUUGUUCAGAUCUAAGGAAACAAGUGCUGAAGAAUACAAUUAGAGAUUUGUUUAAUAACAAGAUUGGCAAGCCUGUAGAUAUUGGUGAAGUGUCAGUUUCAACUUCACUCAAUGCACUUGAGAACAUGCUGUGGGGAGGUGGCACUGGCUCUGGGGGACAUAAUGAUCAUACUCUUGAGAUGAAACAAUUGCUUGAUGAUAUCAUGGAGCUGCAAGGAGUUCCGAAUAUUUCGGACAUCUUUCCAGUGCUUUCGAGGUUUGAUUUACAAGGAGUUGAAAGGAAGUGUAAGGAGAUAGCUUUGUGG